UACGUAGGGAGCAAGCGUUGUCCGGAAUCAUUGGGCGUAAAGCGCGCGUAGGCGGCCUCGUAAGUCCGUUGUGAAAGUCAAAGGCUCAACCUUUGAAAGCCGAUGGAUACUGUGAGGCUAGAGUCCGGAAGAGGCGAGUGGAAUUCCUGGUGUAGCGGUGGAAUGCGCAGAUAUCAGGAGGAACACCCAUAGCGAAGGCAGCUUGCUGGGACGUUACUGACGCUAAGGCGCGAAAGCGUGGGGAGCGAACAGG
rnacentral:rRNA from 1 species